AGAGUCUCUUCUUUUUAUUGCUUUGGCAUGAGGUUUGAGUUUUGACUUCAAGUACAAAAAAUGAAUUUAUUUUGGGCCAAAAGCAUGUGGGAAAUAAAUUACGGCGAAGUUUGGAAGUAUUAGGCUUACAAGUACAAUAGUCUGGGACACAAUUUGACUAAAGGAGUGGGUGGCUACUAACUCCGCACCACACCCAUUCAUUUUUCUCAUUUUUUACAGUACGAUUGUAACCAGAUCCCAAAACCUAACCUCUCGGCUCCUAAAUAAGGCUCCAAUAGUUAGUUUCUCAGUGACUUUUUUUUAAUAGUGUAGAAAGUAUAUAAGAUACAUCCAACACCCCCAUUGUUUAAACGGGUCAACAUCAAGUUUUCUUUUC